GCUUGUCUCAAAGAUUAAGCCAUGCAUGUCUAAGUAUAAACUAUUUUAUACUGUGAAACUGCGAAUGGCUCAUUAAAUCAGUUAUAGUUUAUUUGAUGGUACCUUACUACUCGGAUAACCGUAGUAAUUCUAGAGCUAAUACGUGCGUAAAUCCCGACUCCUGGAAGGGACGUAUUUAUUAGAUUUAAGGCCAACCGAGCUUGCUCGUCUCUUGGUGAAUCAUGAUAACUCCUCGAAUCGCAUGGCCUUGCGCCGGCGAUGUUUCAUUCAAAUUUCUGCCCUAUCAAUUUGAUGGUAGGAUAGAGGCCUACCAUGGUGGUAACGGGUGACGGAGAAUUAGGGUUCGAUUCCGGAGAGGGAGCCUGAGAAACGGCUACCACAUCCAAGGAAGGCAGCAGG
rnacentral:rRNA from 1 species